ensembl:snRNA U1 U1 spliceosomal RNA
GUGCUUACCUGGUAGGGUAGAUACCUUGAUCACGAAGGUGGUUUUCCCAGGGCGAGGCGGAUCCAAGGCACUCCAGAUGUGCUGACCCCUGCAAUUUCCCCAAAUGUGUGAAACUCGACUGGGUAAUCUGUGGUAGUGGGGGACUGUGUUCGCACCCUCCCCUA